AUACGGAGGGUGCGAGCGUUAAUCGGAAUUACUGGGCGUAAAGGGUGCGUAGGCGGUUUGAUAAGUCGGAUGUGAAAGCCCCGGGCUUAACCUGGGAAUGGCAUUCGAUACUGUCAGGCUAGAGUAUGUCAGAGGUUGGCGGAAUUCCUGGUGUAGCGGUGAAAUGCGUAGAUAUCAGGAGGAACACCAGUGGCGAAGGCGGCUAACUGGGGCAAUACUGACGCUGAGGCACGAAAGCGUGGGGAGCAAACAGGAUUAGAUACCCCAGUAGUCC
rnacentral:rRNA from 1 species